UGCUUCUUUCGCGAUGGCGGAGCUUGAGCGCCCACUGAUGCGAUGAUGUCCUUCAUCGACGCACACCGCUCGCUGCUCGGGGUCGAGCCGAUUUGAAGAUUGCUGCCGAUUGCCCCG
rfam:Rhizobium oryziradicis strain N19 C453, whole genome shotgun sequence.